rnacentral:rRNA from 1 species
UGGGUUGAUCCCUGCCAGUAGUCAUAUGCUUGUCUUAAAGAUUAAGCCAUGCAUGUCUAAGUACAAGCUUUUUACGGUGAAACUGCGAAUGGCUCAUUACAACAGUUAUAGUUUCUUUGGUAUUCGUUUUCUAUGGAUAACCGUGCUAAUUGUAGGGCUAAUACAAGUUCGAUGCCUUUUGGCGGCGUUUAUUAGUUUUGAAGCCUUCUUUUUGGUGAUUCAUAAUAAACUUGCGAAUCGCUUUUUGCGAUGGCCCAUUCAAGUUUCUGACCCAUCAGCUUGACGGUAGGGUAUUGGCCUACCGAGGCAGCAACGGGUAACGGGGAAUUAGGGUCGAUUCCGAGAGGAGCCUGAGAAACGGCUACCACAUCUAAGGAAGGCAGCAGGCACUACUGGC